GACGUAGGGUCCAAGCGUUGUCCGGAUUUACUGGGCGUAAAGAGCGCGUAGGCGGUCUGUUAAGUGUAGAGUGAAAGCUCCGGGCUCAACCCGGAAAUUGCUCUGCAUACUGGCAGACUUGAGGAUGGAAGAGGUUUGUGGAAUUCCUGGUGUAGCGGUGAAAUGCGCAGAUAUCAGGAGGAACACCAAUGGCGAAGGCAGCUCACUGGGACGGUAUUGACGCUGAGGAGCGAAAGCGUGGGGAGCGAACAGG
rnacentral:rRNA from 1 species